GACGAACGCUGGCGGCGUGCCUAAUACAUGCAAGUUGAGCGAUGAAGAUUGGUGCUUGCACCAAUUUGAAGAGCAGCGAACGGGUGAGUAACGCGUGGGGAAUCCGCCUUUGAGCGGGGGACAACAUUUGGAAACGAAUGCUAAUACCGCAUAACAACUUUAAACAUAAGUUUUAAGUUUGAAAGAUGCAAUUGCAUCACUCAAAGAUGAUCCCGCGUUGUAUUAGCUAGUUGGUGAGGUAAAGGCUCACCAAGGCGAUGAUACAUAGCCGACCUGAGAGGGUGAUCGGCCACAUUGGGACUGAGACACGGCCCAAACUCCUACGGGAGGCAGCAGUAGGGAAUCUUCGGCGAUGGACGAAAGUCUGACCGGGCAACGCCGCGUGAGUGAAGAAGGUUUUCGGAUCGUAAAACUCUGUUGGUAGAGAAGAACGUUGGUGAGAGUGGAAAGCUCAUCAAGUGACGGUAACUACCCAGAAAGGGACGGCUAACUACGUG
rnacentral:rRNA from 1 species